rnacentral:lncRNA from 1 species
CGUCUGGCUGUAAUACUCUCUGGACACAGACCGGCUCCCAAGUAUGUCCUGAAGUGCUCCAAAAAUGGCUCCUCCCAGCCACGCCACAUAGUUGGGUUUGGCAGGUGGAGUGUGAACUUUGAAGGUUUUAGUCGCAAGGACUUCUUUGUAUUUCGGUUUCUCCACCAGGUACCUGAUUUCAGCCAUGAGUCUGUGGAGGAAUCCUGGCAACAUGGCAGUGCCACCCAUAACCACCAAGUUCUCUGCCAACUGCUU